rnacentral:rRNA from 1 species
GAUCCUGGCUCAGGACGAACGCUGGCGGCGUGCCUAAUACAUGCAAGUCGAGCGAAUGGAUGGGAGCUUGCUCCCUGAAGUUAGCGGCGGACGGGUGAGUAACACGUGGGCAACCUGCCUGUAAGACUGGGAUAACUUCGGGAAACCGGAGCUAAUACCGGAUAAUCCUUUUCCUCACAUGUGGAAAAGUUGAAAGAUGGCUUCGGCUAUCACUUACAGAUGGGCCCGCGGCGCAUUAGCUAGUUGGUGAGGUAACGGCUCACCAAGGCGACGAUGCGUAGCCGACCUGAGAGGGUGAUCGGCCACACUGGGACUGAGACACGGCCCAGACUCCUGCGGGAGGCAGCAGUAGGGAAUCUUCCGCAAUGGACGAAAGUCUGACGGAGCAACGCCGCGUGAGUGAUGAAGGUUUUCGGAUCGUAAAACUCUGUUGUUAGGGAAGAACAAGUACCGUUCGAAUAGGGCGGUACCUUGACGGUACCUAACCAGAAAGCCACGGCUAACUACGUGCCAGCAGCCGCGGUAAUA